rnacentral:rRNA from 1 species
UACGUAGGGGGCUAGCGUUGUCCGGAAUCAUUGGGCGUAAAGAGCGUGUAGGCGGCUCGGUAAGUCCGCUGUGAAAGUCCAGGGCUCAACCCUGGAAUGCCAGUGGAAACUGUCGAGCUAGAGUCCGGAAGAGGCGAGUGGAAUUCCUGGUGUAGCGGUGAAAUGCGCAGAUAUCAUUUGGAACGCCAACGGUGAAAACAGCUGGCUGGGGGUGUGCUGACGCUGAGACACGAAAGCCAGGGGAGCGAACGGG